UUGACACAUGAGGACCUUUUCAAA
rnacentral:piRNA from 1 species